UGAAUAUUAAAAAAUAUAAUAUCCCUGCCAUUGCAGGUGUGACUGCUGUGUCACAUAUCUGUCAGUAUGUGAAACAAAAGAGACUAUACUAAGUGUUCUGACCUAUGAACAUCUGAGUGAUUAAUAGCCUAACACU
rnacentral:snoRNA from 1 species